UAGGGAAUCUUCCACAAUGGACGCAAGUCUGAUGGAGCAACGCCGCGUGAGUGGAGAAGGCUUUCGGGUCGUAAAACUCUGUUGUUGGAGAAGAAUGGUCGGCAGAGUAACUGUUGUCGGCGUGACGGUAUCCAACCAGAAAGCCACGGCUAACUACGUGCCAGCAGCCGCGGUAAUACGUAGGUGGCAAGCGUUAUCCGGAUUUAUUGGGCGUAAAGCGAGCGCAGGCGGUUUUUUAAGUCUGAUGUGAAAGCCCUCGGCUUAACCGAGGAAGCGCAUCGGAAACUGGGAAACUUGAGUGCAGAAGAGGACAGUGGAACUCCAUGUGUAGCGGUGAAAUGCGUAGAUAUAUGGAAGAACACCAGUGGCGAAGGCGGCUGUCUGGUCUGUAACUGACGCUGAGGCUCGAAAGCAUGGGUAGCGAACAGGAUUAGAUACCCUGGUAGUCCAUGCCGUAAACGAUGAAUGCUAGGUGUUGGAGGGUUU
rnacentral:rRNA from 1 species